UACGUAGGGUGCGAGCGUUUGUCCGGAAUUAUUGGGCGUAAAGAGCUUGUAGGCGGUCUGUCGCGUCUGCUGUGAAAAUCCGGGGCUCAACCCCGGACUUGCAGUGGGUACGGGCAGACUAGAGUGUGGUAGGGGAGACUGGAAUUCCUGGUGUAGCGGUGAAAUGCGCAGAUAUCAGGAGGAACACCGAUGGCGAAGGCAGGUCUCUGGGCCACUACUGACGCUGAGAAGCGAAAGCAUGGGGA
rnacentral:rRNA from 1 species